rnacentral:misc_RNA from 1 species
UUCAAAUAUGAAUAUGACACUUUAAUAUUUCAAAUUAGUGAAGACUUUAUGCAAAGAUUGAAAAUUAAGCAAGUUUGAUUCCAUGUAGCGUAGUACCGCUAUGGAGCCAAAAGUGAGAGCAAUGCUUGACUAAGAAAACAAAGAGACUACAAAGCUACUAAUAGAGUUUAACAUAAAGGGAAUUUGCUGCUCUUUGUUUUACGUAUAUAGGCAUACUUGGUUUUGAUUUCAUUUAUCUUUUUAAAGGAACAUUGGCAUUUUUUAUCCGAGGAAGAGCUUCAUAUCUUCAGACUAGUUGUUACUACCGAGGUUAAGUUCUCUCUUGAAUGAUUUUAAGUAAGCACUCUCGUAGUGCUUUCCAAUAGAGUUGAACUUUAAUUGAUAAUAAAGGGGAUUUCCAUUCUUACUAAUUGAUGGAUUACUUUAUGCUUCUAUAAUGGUUUCUUUGCUGUUGUAGUAGAAUUUAGUUAGAUUUUUUUAUUAGAGAGAAUUUUAUUUUGUCUUUGUUAAGAAAUUUAUAUGCGACUUUGAAACAAAAUACUUAGAGCUGAAAUUGAAACAAAACGCUUAAGAUGAAAUGGAAGAGCUCAACAAAAUCGUCUUAUUUUAGUAGCUGCUCUCCUUGUAUACAACAGAUUAGAAAAAAUAAAAAAACAUAAAAUAGCGGGAAACUACAGCUAAGUGUCGACUGGUAGAUAGCCAUUAUUGACUUUUCUUAACUAGCUAACAAACUGAAUUUAGCUAACUAAUUAAAUUAAAAUUAGCUGUACGGACUUGAUGAGAAAUCUUUUUAUGGUAAAAGACGAUGGG